rnacentral:rRNA from 1 species
CAACUUUUAACAACGGAUCUCUUGGUUCUCGCAUCGAUGAAGAACGUAGCAAAGUGCGAUAACUAGUGUGAAUUGCAUAUUCAGUGAAUCAUCGAGUCUUUGAACGCAACUUGCACUCUAUGGUUUUCCGUANAGUACGCUUGCUUCAGUAUCAU